AAACCUGACACUCUGCACCCUUCACCUUGGGCUGUGUAACCUCAGAACAGGAUUCCAACAUGUUCCAGUUCACCAUUUACUCAGUGGCAAAACAGGUCUGGUGAAAUUUAAAGCCAGUUCGCUGUGCUGACCAGAACUCUUGUGUGCCUGCCUAUCCAGUGAGUUCAGAACGAACUCCAUCAGAUCUACAGCCUUUGCUGAAGCCUCCUCCUGUACCCCCUUGCUGGAGUCUUCUCCAGCAUCCCCUUACCCAUCAUCUCAUCUUGACGGGGCUUUUUUUUCUGCUGUCUUCUUUUGGAAUUUGACCAGUUCGGAUGUUUUUUUCUUCUUGCUAAGAAGAAAAGAAAACAAAGUCUUUUAUAGUCACAUAGAGCUGUCAGUCUUUUUUAUUUAAAGAAUUCAACUAUGUUUUUGACUGUUAAUUGUGCACUUGCACGCGUGUAUAUGUGUAUGAUUUAACUCCAAGUUAUCUCUCUGAUCUCAACCCUAACCUUUUUAAAUGACCAGCUGGGAAGGAAGAAGAGAUCAGAGUUUUGAACUAGAAGGAGCAAGCUUCAAGGACAAGUGUUAAAAUGAGAAUUCUUUGAAUCAGUUCUUGGGAAAUUAAGCUAGGAAACAGAUAAUGGUAGAGCCUAAGGAUGACUUCUGGGCAUGAGAAACCAAGAAUUUGUGAAGGGAAAACAAGAACCAGACAUGAGGAGAUAAAGACUUGAGCAGCUGGAGUAUUGGAUUGUUUGCCUGCUAUCCCAGCACUUGAAAGCAUCCAGGACCAUGGAAAGAACUGAGGUGGGAGAAAACGGACUUGGAAGGCUUCCAGGAAGCAAUGGGGAAACCAAUGGAUGACAGUAUCAGAAAGGUGUGCAGGGUACUUCCUGGGCCAUUUCCAGGUCAUUUGCUGCUGGAGAGUCAUCUUUUACCACUAGCAAAAGAAACGGAAUUCACAUCAGAGAAAACCCCCUCUCAGAUUCCAGCCCCAGAGAACCACAGAUCAUCGGUUACACAGCUAAGUUUGACCGGCGCAGAAAUGCCAUAUAAAUGAAGACAUAAAGUGUACUUUUUUUUGGUGUAUGGCUUUGUUUGCAUCCCUGUACCCUUGGGACCUGUUCCUGCAGGUCAGUAAUUUGUACCUCUUCAGCAGAGGUCUGAGCCUGGAGCCCUGGACAGGCCCUCGUCCCUAGCCACCUUGUCUCUGCCUCUGUUUUGCCUGUUAUUUCCAGGCUUCUGUUGGUUGCUUUUGUUUUAUUUGCAUCUUUACGCCUGUUUCUUUACCUUUCCACUUCAGGCUGGUUUUCUAACUUACAGAAUGAGAAUUAGCAUUCCAGAUAAGAGCAACAGUUAUGCAGAGUAAAUGUAAGGCACCCAUUCUUCAAAAAUGAUACUGUCCCCGACUGGCUAUAGCCUCGGCUGUGAUCCACUUCCGAAUUCUGUGAGAUGCCUCUUGUUCUCAAGACCAUGGUGAAAUUGCUGAAGCCCUGUGUUGCCUCGCUGUCAGUGUCACACCUUAGCAAGCAGCUCUGCCUGGAUUCUCUGCACUUGCCUUUGGUUGGUUGGAGGUGUGUGGGCGGGGUUGGGGGCGGUCUCUUGCUCUAGCUACCUUCAGAAGCUUCAAAAACUUUAUGAAGCCACACCCGACUUUUCCUACUCUGCUGCUCAAUUAUCAGGUCCCAGCUUCUCUGGUUCUGACUUACUAGGGUGCCAGGACAGUUCCAAGUCUGAGAGACUGCAGACAAUCUAACUCUUCCUGGUCUUUCCAAGGCACCGCCCCCACUUAGGGUUAAGGGACCACUUCCUUCCUAUCCUAACCAGCCAGCUGGCCUUAGACAGCUCUGAGCCCUUCACUGAAACAGACCCUUCCACCUUCUUUCCUUAGAAGGCAGCAGGCGUCCCAGGAGGCCCCUGAAGGAGUUCUCUCUGGGCUUUCCAGAGACUCAGAGGGGGUUCGGUCUACCCUGAACCCUGAACCCAGUUCAGGGUCCCUUGGAGUCUGUGUAGGGGAUGGCAGGAGGCUACAAUGAACUCAGCAUCAGGU